AUAUCAAUAAGCGGAGGAAAAGAAACCAACAGGGAUUGCCUUAGUAGCGGCGAGUGAAGCGGCAAGAGCUCAAAUUUGAAAUCUGGUACCUUCGGUGCCCGAGUUGUAAUUUGAAGAAAGCUGUCUUGGAGUUGGCCUUUGUCUAUGUUCCUUGGAACAGGACGUCACAGAGGGUGAGAAUCCCGUGCGAUGAGGUGUCCAAUUCUUUAUAAGACGUUUUCGAAGAGUCGAGUUGUUUGGGAAUGCAGCUCAAAGUGGGUGGUAAAUUCCAUCUAAAGCUAAAUAUUGGCGAGAGACCGAUAGCGAACAAGUACUGUGAAGGAAAGAUGAAAAGAACUUUGAAAAGAGAGUGAAAAAGUACGUGAAAUUGUUGAAAGGGAAGGGUAUUCAAUCAGACUUGGUAUUUAGUUAUCAUUACUCCUUGUGGGUGGUGCUCUAGCUUUUUACUGGGCCAGCAUCAGUUUUGGUGGCAAGAUAAUCGCAGUUGAAUGUAGCUCCUAGAGUAUUAUAGCUUCUGUUGAUAUUGCCUACUGAGACUGAGGUCUGCGGCUUUGCCUAGGAUGCUGGCGUAAUGAU
rnacentral:rRNA from 1 species